rnacentral:rRNA from 1 species
AGUGAACGCUGGCGGUAGGCCUAACACAUGCAAGUCGAACGGCAGCACAGUAAGAGCUUGCUCUUACGGGUGGCGAGUGGCGGACGGGUGAGGAAUACAUCGGAAUCUACUUUUUCGUGGGGGAUAACGUAGGGAAACUUACGCUAAUACCGCAUACGACCUACGGGUGAAAGCAGGGGAUCUUCGGACCUUGCGCGAUUGAAUGAGCCGAUGUCGGAUUAGCUAGUUGGCGGGGUAAAGGCCCACCAAGGCGACGAUCCGUAGCUGGUCUGAGAGGAUGAUCAGCCACACUGGAACUGAGACACGGACCAGACUCCUACGGGAGGCAGCAGCGGGGAAUAUUGGACAAUGGGCGCAAGCCUGAUCCAGCCAUACCGCGUAGGUCAAGAAGGCCUUCGGGUUGUAAAGCCCUUUUGUUGGGAAAGAAAAGCAGCAGGUUAAUACCCCGCUGUUCUGACGGUACCCAAAGAAUAAGCACCGGCUAACUUCGUG